rnacentral:rRNA from 1 species
AGCGAACGCUGGCGGCAGGCCUAACACACGCAAGUCGAACGGAUCCUUCGGGAUUAGUGGCGGACGGGUGAGUAACACGUGGGAACGUGCCCUUUGGUUCGGAACAACUCAGGGAAACUUGAGCUAAUACCGGAUGUGCCCUUCGGGGGAAAGAUUUAUCGCCAUUGGAGCGGCCCGCGUCUGAUUAGCUAGUUGGUGAGGUAAAGGCUCACCAAGGCGACGAUCAGUAGCUGGUCUGAGAGGAUGAUCAGCCACAUUGGGACUGAGACACGGCCCAAACUCCUACGGGAGGCAGCGGUGGGGAAUCUUGCGCAAUGGGCGAAAGCCUGACGCAGCCAUGCCGCGUGAAUGAUGAAGGUCUUAGGAUUGUAAAAUUCUUUCACCGGGGACGAUAAUGACGGUACCCGGAGAAGAAGCCCCGGCUAACUUCGUGCCAGCCGCCGCAGUAAUAC